rnacentral:rRNA from 1 species
AGCGGGGAGAAAGGGCCCGAGAUUGCGUCGACGCGGAUCCCGAAAAGGGCGUCGAUCCGUCGCGACAGCGGGACGGUGGUCAUGGAAGUCGAAAUCCGCUAAGAAGCGUGUAAAAACGUACCCGCCCAACGGAUCGGCCCCGAAAAUUGAUGGCGCUCGAACGCAACCCUCGAACCCCGCCGACGGAGGCUAGGGGAGGCCCCGUCGAGUAGGCGGACGCGCGGGUCGCUUCGACGCUCUCGCGCGAGCGGGGGCGGAGCGGCCCGUGGUGCAGAUCUUGGUGGUAGUAGCGAUCACCCAGGCGAGAACCCCUGAGGGCCGAAGUGGAGAAGGGGUUUCUCGAGAACGGCACUCGCUCGAGAGUUAGUCGAUCCUAAGCUGCCGGCGGCAGCCACGAAACGGUCGAUCGGGCGCGAGCCCGGCAGCCACGACCGGGCAGCGAAAGGGAAUUGGGAACCUCCUUCCCAAACCCGGAACCGGAACGAGGGCGG